rnacentral:rRNA from 1 species
CCUACGGGAGGCAGCAGUGAGGAAUAUUGGUCAAUGGACGAGAGUCUGAACCAGCCAAGUCGCGUGAGGGAUUAAGGCCCUGCGGGUCGUAAACCUCUUUUGCCGGGGAGCAGUGGUCCGGACGCGUCCGGACCGGGAGAGUACCCGGAGAAAAAGCAUCGGCUAACUCCGUGCCAGCAGCCGCGGUAAUACGGAGGAUGCGAGCGUUAUCCGGAUUUAUUGGGUUUAAAGGGUGCGUAGGCGGAUUUUUAAGUCAGCGGUAAAAUGUCCGGGCUCAACCCGGGCCGGCCGUUGAAACUGGGGAUCUUGAGUGGGCGAGAAGUAUGCGGAAUGCGUGGGGUAGCGGUGAAAUGCAUAGAUAUCACGCAGAACUCCGAUUGCGAAGGCAGCAUACCGGCGCCCGACUGACGCUGAGGCACGAAAGCGUGGGGAUCGAACAGGAUUAGAUACCCCAGUAGUC